UACGUAGGGUCCGAGCGUUGUCCGGAAUUAUUGGGCGUAAAGGGCUCGUAGGCGGUCUGUUGCGUCGGGAGUGAAAACUUACAGCUUAACUGUGAGCGUGCUUUCGAUAUGGGCAGACUUGAGGCAUUCAGGGGAGAACGGAAUUCCUGGUGUAGCGGUGAAAUGCGUAGAUAUCAGGAGGAACACCGGUGGCGAAGGCGGCUUUCUGGACAGUAACUGACGCUGAGGCGCGAAAGCUAGGGGAGCAAACAGG
rnacentral:rRNA from 1 species